AGACAAACAAAGGGGGGAAAAGAGGUAAAAUAUUCAAAAGAGCUGAUAUAAAACACUAAAUACACAAAUUUUUGUUUGGGGGCGGGGGAAAUUACACAUUGUGCUACCCAUAAACAGCCACACACAUCACUCACCACUAUACAUAAUCAUCACUCACAGCUACACACACAGCCACCCACUCAUCACUCAACAGCCACACAUAUCACUCACAGCUACACACAUCAUUCACAGCUAUACCUACAGUUACAGACAUCACUCACAGCAACACACACCAGUCACAGCUACCCAGAAACAGUCACACAUAGUUCUCACAGCUACUCACACACAUCUCUCACUGUACCCACGUUUAUCAACGCACGUCACUUACAGCUACCGCACUUAAAUACACGGUCAUCACACCCUACACCUAAAUACACAGUCACCCAGUCACAUAUGCACACAUAGACAACACACAUACUAUCAUCUCAUACACAGUCAGCCAUACAGAGCCACAACACACACAUCAUACACAGUUCCUUUACUACAGUACAAUAACUACAACACUUACAGCCACUCUAUAUCUAAACAGGCAUGCUGUUACUCUACACACACAGCCAUAAAUAGCCACAAAACCCACAGCCAGCCAUACAUACACACACACACAGUUAAAGCCUCUCUAUACCUAAAUAACACACACAACCUCCCCCCACCAAAUAAUGCAUAUGCUAUCACCCCACACACAUUUGCAACUUUUUAAAGGAAUUACGACAUUCUGCUGUAGUGGUAAUGGUGCCAGAGGUACUUAGACACCCUUCAAAAGUAACAACAGUUUGACAACUUACCUGGUUCCUUGUAAACAUACACACUUUAAAGCCCCAAUACACACACUGCAGCCCCUACCAACACACCCACACUCUACAGACCCUAAACACACACAACCUCUACAGUCCUUCGACAUGCAAGCACAUACACACACUACAACCCAUACACAGUACACUACAGAGACAUUUACACACAUAAUACACUAUAAACAGUCUUCUCUUCGACACACAAUCCCACAUAUAUAUCACCACAUUAAUACCCCUCACACAUGCACAACACUCUUUACAAGAACACUACCAGUCCAAGUGUAUGAUUAAAUUUGCUUUGUUUUAAAAGGGGAAGGGAUUGUGCCAGCAAGCUUUAAUCCAGCCAAAAACUGUUUUAUUAAAACACUGUUUAUUGUACUACUAACCCCUUAAAAGUAAAUCUGACCUUGAAUAGGGGUCUUGCGGGUGAAGGAGCCAUGGCUGUGCAACUCUUACACAGCCAGUCUUGCUGCUAUGCAGUGAGAUUCUAAUAUAUGUGUGUGAGAGCUGCGUAAUGAAGCAGGAAAAGAGUGUGGAGCGACAACAUGCAUGUACACCUUUAAACCAAUAAUCCUUGCCCCAGGAAGUGGCACUUGAUCUCUUAUUGCCUAGGUGCCCAAUGUGUUGUCUCUGCGCCCUGUUGGGCCCCUUACAACCAUAAUGGCUGGUUCCCUCAACACAAUCACACACACACCUAAAUUCACAUACCAUGUUUACAGGCACACUCAUGGAUACACUGAAAGAUAAAUACACAGAGAGAUAAAUAUACACACACAUAAAUAUACUGAUACAUGCUGUCACACAGACACACAGAUAAUGUCUCAGGUGCACACACAAAGAUACAUAAUGCCACACCACACACGUUCCCAUACACAAUGCCACACCACACAGAUGCACUCACUAACAUGCACACACAAAUACACUGACACUGCAAGACAUAUACACUCACAAAUAUAUGUUUUAAGCCACCCUCUUGGUUUGUAACAGCAGGGUAGCUUUCCUUUUGUCCAGAGGAAAUGCCGCAAACUUUGAUGCCUCCAGCAUAUAUCAUAAUUUCUUCCCACCCCUACUGCACAGGAGGAGAAAAGGAACAGUUAAUACAACUUGAUAAGGGGCCUGCACAGAUGUUACGCCAUGUCAUCUGGCUAUGGGAGAUAGUUAUAUUUCAACUGAGCUACAUUUGACAGGGCCCCAUGCGGGUCCCUACUGGAAAACUGGUUGUACCUCCUUGAUUUCAGCUCUCUGCCCAACCCCCUUAUGACAUUUAAUAUUCAUCAUGUGGGGAUGAAUAAAAUCAUGUCCAUCGUCCAAUGAUUAUUAAAUAGACUCCACCUACAUGGGUUGGUUUGGGGGAACUUUAACAAGUCCCUCCAUGUCUUUUAAAAGAGCUCCCACGCACUGGUCAUGAAUGUGGACAGGGGAUAGAGUGUAACCUGUCCACCCAUCAUCUAAUUUUAAGCAGGUAAGGGCUCUGGGUGGCCUGUAUCACCCCCACAAUAUUUUGCAAUGCUUUGUAUUUUACCAAACCUCGCCACUUGACAGAAUCACAGAUACAUACAAAAACAUUUUAAAACACACAUUUAGAGUUAGGUACACAAAGUUUCACAGAUGUGUACAUAAAACCAUAGAUCCACGAACACACACAAAUCAAACAUUCACACAAUGAUAAACAGAUAUACACAGACAUGCACUGACAUGGAUAAAGAAAGGCCCACUCAGACACACAUAUACAAGAAUCACAGAUGCACAUGGACAGAGACAGACAUGCGCUAACAAAGACAGAUAUACAUACACACAUAUUCACAGACAUACACAGAGGCAAAAACAGACAUGCACAAAUGGACACAUGUACAGUUACAUAUGCACUGUCAGGCCCAGACAAACAGCCACAAAGACACAUAGAAUUGCAAUUCUGGCAGGCAUACAUAGGCACAGCUGCUACACAAACAUGCACAGACACACACAGGCACAAAUACACAAACAGGGACAGAAAGAAACACACCCUAUAUAAAAACAGGUAUAUAAAAUAUGUCUAUUUGCAUGGUGUGGGGAGAAUGCAGGCAGCAGUGGCUGGUUUACUGAUGCAGGCAUGGUGGUCACAAACCUCUUCAUGUUUAUCAUAGAAAGUGAGGGAGCCUGCGGUUCAGGCAAUUGAGUCUCUAGAUCUGUUCUGCUCUCCCAGCCCAGUCUCUUUUCUGUGAAUCUCAAUUGGGAGCAGAAAUAGCAUAGUUACAGAGAUGCUUGAACAUGAUGUUACCUAUUUCUCUAUUUAAACUGUGCUGCUUUGACUCUCAGUUGAAAAUCCCUGAGUACAUGGACAGGUAGGGAAAAUCAGAAAUAAAGAUUCAGUGCUCCUGGCUACCUCUGGGGCAAAAGAGAUUUGGCGCUGAUAUGUCCCCUAUACAGGGCUGGUGCCCCCCCACAAGCCACACACUAGCUAUGAGUUUAGUUGGUCACCCAUCGUUUAGAUAGUAGCUUUUUAAUAAUGGCUUACUUUGAAUUUCUUUCUUUAUUAUUAUUUUAUUUUUUUAUGUUAACAAUUUGAAAUCUUUCAUUUUCAUCAGGUUUUGCACAUGCCUUGUCUCUUCUAAGAAGGAAAUUCAGAGCCUCCCACUGAGUUGCAAAUCAGCUAGUAGAGCCUGUGGCACAUUAGUGAAGGUAUGCUACACCCCUCUCUAUACAGGGGCCAUCAUUGGCUCAUAGCACCAGGGGUGGGAUUUCAGAUCCCACAGUUAAAGAGAAGAAAGAAGCCAUCUUGGAAGUAGCACAGACAAGGCACAGCAGCAGCACCUCCUGUAAGUGUACAAUAUUAUCUUUUUCUCUCCCACAGCAGCCUUGGUGUCUGUUUUAGGUCCGACAUGUUUCAUAACAGCCAAGAAAUUUGUGAUUGGGAAACCAGGACUAAAACAUUUCGUUACUGCAAAGUUUUAGGGCUUCCAAGGUCAAAGAAGGGGUCUGCUUGGUGCGUAGGUGUGUACAGUGUAAAAUAGUCGAUCAUUGGCUGUAAUAUUUAUUAGUAAUAUAAACAGCAUUCUUAACUGCAUCAAAAUUGCAUGAACACCAGAAUUAUUUGUUGGGAGCUUCAUCAAAUGGUCUUUCAUUAAUGAGUAGAUGCACAAAAGUCCUUUAUCACCAUAUUCUUAAACUGAUUAAGAUCACCUUUCUGCGGUUUGAGAAAUAGGGGAAAAGAUGACAUAGCAGCCACCUCAAAAUUAAUUAUGAAAUCAACAAAUCCUAAAAUUGUUUUACUUGAAGAAAUUGUUGUAAAUUAAAUUAUAAUUUGUGUGCUGAGUCCAAUUCCUACAAUUCCUACUUGCUACAAAUAAUCCCAAAUUAAAUUAAAAGUUUGCUAUCUUUUCCUUAAAAUGUUCUUUUCGUUCAGUUUUGCUUUCUUUUCCAUUAUUUUUGUUAUAUUUUUUAAAUUCACUUCAGUUUCUUAGUUUGCCAAGCUAGUUUGUCCACAAUCUGUUAUUCAAAAGAAUUCGACAGAAGUAGAAACUCCAAACAUCGUAAACAGAGGAGAACAAAAUGGUGGAAGCCCGGUAUCGAGGUCAGCACAAGGAAGUAACAAUAAUAAAUGUAAAUAAAUGUAAGAAUAAAGGGGGAAGUAUAUAAUAAGAUACAAAAAGUGUAAUGAAAGGGAAAUUUAACAAAAAGCACACAAUAGUAUUACUUUAAACACUAUUCUUCUGCGUUCACAUUUAUGAAAAUAUAUGACUUUUGUCAUUUUGUUCUAAAAGUUAAAAUGUUUACACAAAAUCUACUAAACAUUGACUUUGCAUUUCCUUUUAAUUUGUGCUAUAAGUCUGUAACAUUGUAUUUUACAUUCAAAUGCUCUAUGAGACAUGUAUGAUUAAAGUCUCCAUCCAAAUUAAUGUUUAUACUUGUGUUUUAAUACCUAAACUCCUUGCUUACACAUUUAUCACAAUUGUAAUUGCCAGUAAAAAACAAUAUUAUAUUCUGGUCCUUAACUCCAUUAUAGUAUAGUCUAUUAAACAAAAUCAGCAAAUAUAUUGAGGCUUGUAUUAUUAAAUAAUAUGCCAUCUGUGCAUAUGGGCAUUAAACAUAGAUUUACAUAUUACUUUCCAUUAAACAAAAACCCAGAUUCUGGUUCUUUUGCAAAUAAUAUGUUUUAUUUUUUCCUAAAUAAACUUCUAUAACAUGUAAAGAAAUGUGUGUUUUUUUUA
rnacentral:lncRNA from 1 species